rnacentral:rRNA from 1 species
GUGAAAAGCACCCCGGAAGGGGAGUGAAAUAGAACCUGAAACCGUGUGCUUACAAGUAGUCAGAGCCCGUUAAUGGGUGAUGGCGUGCCUUUUGUAGAAUGAACCGGCGAGUUACGAUUUGAUGCAAGGUUAAGCAGUAAAUGUGGAGCCGUAGCGAAAGCGAGUCUGAAUAGGGCGUUUAGUAUUUGGUCGUAGACCCGAAACCAGGUGAUCUACCCUUGGUCAGGUUGAAGUUCAGGUAACACUGAAUGGAGGACCGAACCGACUUACGUUGAAAAGUGAGCGGAUGAACUGAGGGUAGCGGAGAAAUUCCAAUCGAACCUGGAGAUAGCUGGUUCUCUCCGAAAUAGCUUUAGGGCUAGCCUCAAGUGAUGAUUAUUGGAGGUAGAGCACUGUUUGGACGAGGGGCCCCUCUCGGGUUACCGAAUUCAGACAAACUCCGAAUGCCAAUUAAUUUAACUUGGGAGUCAGAACAUGGGUGAUAAGGUCCGUGUUCGAAAGGGAAACAGCCCAGACCACCAGCUAAGGUCCCAAAAUAUAUGUUAAGUGGAAAAGGAUGUGGCGUUGCCCAGACAACUAGGAUGUUGGCUUAGAAGCAGCCAUCAUUUAAAGAGUGCGUAAUAGCUCACUAGUCGAGUGACACUGCGCCGAAAAUGUACCGGGGCUAAACAUAUUACCGAAGCUGUGGAUUGUCCUUUGGACAAUGGUAGGAGAGCGUUCUAAGGGCGUUGAAGCAUGAUCGUAAGGACAUGUGGAGCGCUUAGAAGUGAGAAUGCCGGUGUGAGUAGCGAAAGACGGGUGAGAAUCCCGUCCACCGAUUGACUAAGGUUUCCAGAGGAAGGCUCGUCCGCUCUGGGUUAGUCGGGUCCUAAGCUGAGGCCGACAGGCGUAGGCGAUGGAUAACAGGUUGAUAUUCCUGUACCACCUAUAAUCGUUUUAAUCGAUGGGGGGACGCAGUAGGAUAGGCGAAGCGUGCGAUUGGAUUGCACGUCUAAGCAGUAAGGCUGAGUAUUAGGCAAAUCCGGUACUCAUUAAGGCUGAGCUGUGAUGGGGAGAAGACAUUGUGUCUUCGAGUCGUUGAUUUCACACUGCCGAGAAAAGCCUCUAGAUAGAAAAUAGGUGCCCGUACCGCAAACCGACACAGGUAGUCAAGAUGAGAAUUCUAAGGUGAGCGAGCGAACUCUCGUUAAGGAACUCGGCAAAAUGACCCCGUAACUUCGGGAGAAGGGGUGCUCUUUAGGGUUAACGCCCAGAAGAGCCGCAGUGAAUAGGCCCAAGCGACUGUUUAUCAAAAACACAGGUCUCUGCUAAACCGUAAGGUGAUGUAUAGGGGCUGACGCCUGCCCGGUGCUGGAAGGUUAAGAGGAGUGGUUAGCUUCUGCGAAGCUACGAAUCGAAGCCCCAGUAAACGGCGGCCGUAACUAUAACGGUCCUAAGGUAGCGAAAUUCCUUGUCGGGUAAGUUCCGACCCGCACGAAAGGCGUAACGAUUUGGGCACUGUCUCAACGAGAGACUCGGUGAAAUCAUAGUACCUGUGAAGAUGCAGGUUACCCGCGACAGGACGGAAAGACCCCGUGGAGCUUUACUGUAGCCUGAUAUUGAAAUUCGGCACAGCUUGUACAGGAUAGGUAGGAGCCUUUGAAACGUGAGCGCUAGCUUACGUGGAGGCGCUGGUGGGAUACUACCCUAGCUGUGUUGGCUUUCUAACCCGCACCACUUAUCGUGGUGGGAGACAGUGUCAGGCGGGCAGUUUGACUGGGGCGGUCGCCUCCUAAAAGGUAACGGAGGCGCUCAAAGGUUCCCUCAGAAUGGUUGGAAAUCAUUCAUAGAGUGUAAAGGCAUAAGGGAGCUUGACUGCGAGACCUACAAGUCGAGCAGGGUCGAAAGACGGACUUAGUGAUCCGGUGGUUCCGCAUGGAAGGGCCAUCGCUCAACGGAUAAAAGCUACCCCGGGGAUAACAGGCUUAUCUCCCCCAAGAGUUCACAUCGACGGGGAGGUUUGGCACCUCGAUGUCGGCUCAUCGCAUCCUGGGGCUGUAGUCGGUCCCAAGGGUUGGGCUGUUCGCCCAUUAAAGCGGUACGCGAGCUGGGUUCAGAACGUCGUGAGACAGUUCGGUCCCUAUCCGUCGUGGGCGUAGGAAAUUUGAGAGGAGCUGUCCU